rnacentral:rRNA from 1 species
CGACCCCAGGUCAGGCGGGGCUACCCGCCGAGUUUAAGCAUAUAAAUAAGCGGAGGAGAAGAAACUUACGAGGAUUCCCCUAGUAACGGCGAGCGAACCGGGAAGCGCCCAGCUUGAGAAUCGGGCGGCCCCGCCGCCCGAAUUGUAGUCUGUAUAGGCGUCCUCAGCGGCGGACCGGGCGCAAGUCCCCUGGAAGGGGGCGCCGGAGAGGGUGAGAGCCCCGUCGCGCCCGGACCCUGGCGCACCANNAGGCGCCGUCGGCAAGUCGGGUUGUUUGGGAAUGCAUCCCCAAUCNNGCGGUUAAUUCCGUCCAUGGUUAAUUCUUUUGCUAUAGAUCUU